rnacentral:rRNA from 1 species
AUAUCAAUAAGCGGAGGAAAAGGAACCAACAGGGAUUGCCUUAGUAACGGCGAGUGAAGCGGCAACAGCUCAAAUUUGAAAUCAGGCUCACGCCCGAGUUGUAAUUUGUAGAGGAUGCUUUUGGUGCGGUGCCUUCUGAGUUCCCUGGAACGGGACGCCAGAGAGGGUGAGAGCCCCGUAUAGUUGGACACCGAGCCUAUGUAAAUCUCCUUCGACGAGUCGAGUAGUUUGGGAAUGCUGCUCUAAAUGGGAGGUAAAUUUCUUCUAAAGCUAAAUACUGGCCAGAGACCGAUAGCGCACAAGUA